GGGACUAUAGUUAAUAAUAACAUUUGAGUUGCAUUCAAAAAGUACUAUACAAAUAGUUAGCCUCA
rnacentral:tRNA from 1 species